CGUGGCUGCAGGGAGUGGGACCUGAGGGCCUCUGAGGGUCCCUUUUGACUCAAACCAUCCUAUGGUCUGAUGAUCGAGCUAUGAAUUCUGCUUAGCCUCAUGGGCACGUCCAGCAUUGGCGGUGCAAGUAGCAGAGAAUGUGAACAAGACCCAGGCAUUGCUGCUGGAGGCUCCAACCCAGAGCCACCUCAAAUCUCUGAAGCCGUGCCCGACCACCACCAUAAAAACGGCCUUCAGAACCCGGAGGCCUUCUGGCAAAGUCCAGAACCUCCCUCCAAAGAGAAGGAUGCUCUUCAGAGGCACGACUCUGUGACACCCACAUGUUGUUGGCGCACGUGUUAGGACACCGCAGCAAGGAACAGGCAAUGCAGAUUUGGACGGCGUACAAAAAGGCAUAGCAAGGCAGGCGAGGGCGGGAAGUGAUAAGAACUCAUCUGCCACGAAGAGUGGUUGAGACCUGCGAGUCUCCGUGGGACGCCUCUGGAAGUGAUCACUGGGGAAGCACAGGAGGUUCUUUAGACACAAAAGGGGUUUGGAGGCGCAGCCCGAGCUUCCAGGCGACAGUGACAUCGCCUUUGCAGCCCUCGUGCUUCCCCAAAGACAAUUGGAGGAAAUUAGCUCAGUGCUUGCUUGAGACCUGACAGUGUCUGGAAGACAGUGGGA
rnacentral:lncRNA from 1 species